UUCCGGUUGAUCCUGCCGGACCCGACUGCUAUCGGGGUGGGGCUAAGCCAUGCGAGUCGUACGCCCGGGGGCGCCCGGGCGUGGCGCACGGCUCAGUAACACGUGCCUAACCUACCCUCGGGAGGGGGAUAACCCCGGGAAACUGGGGCUAAUCCCCCAUAGGGGAGAGGUGCUGGAAGGCCCUCUCCCCGAAAGGGGCGGCGGCCGAUCCGCCGCCGCCCGCCCGAGGAUGGGGGUGCGGCCCAUCAGGUAGUUGGCGGGGUAACGGCCCGCCAAGCCGAUAACGGGUGGGGGCCGUGAGAGCGGGAGCCCCGAGAUGGGCACUGAGACAAGGGCCCAGGCCCUACGGGGCGCAGCAGGCGCGAAAACUCCGCAAUGCGGGCAACCGCGACGGGGCCACCCCGAGUGCCGGCCGAUGAGGCCGGCUUUUGCCCGGUGUAAGGAGCCGGGCGAAUAAGCGGGGGGCAAGUCUGGUGUCAGCCGCCGCGGUAAUACCAGCCCCGCGAGUGGUCGGGGUGAUUACUGGGCCUAAAGCGCCCGUAGCCGGCCCGGCAAGUCCUCCCCGAAAUCCCCGGGCUCAACCCGGGGGCUGGGGAGGAUACUGCCGGGCUUGGGGGCGGGAGAGGCCGAGGGUACUCCCGGGGUAGGGGCGAAAUCCGAUAAUCCCGGGAGGACCACCAGUGGCGAAGGCGCUCGGCUGGAACGCGCCCGACGGUGAGGGGCGAAAGCUGGGGGAGCAAAGGGGAUUAGAUACCCCUGUAGUCCCAGCUGUCAACGAUGCGGGCUAGGCGUUGGGCGGGCUUAGAGCCCGCCCAGUGCCGCAGGGAAGCCGUUAAGCCCGCCGCCUGGGGAGUACGGCCGCAAGGCUGAAACUUAAAGGAAUUGGCGGGGGGGCACCACAAGGGGUGAAGCUUGCGGCUUAAUUGGAGUCAACGCCGGAAACCUUACCCGGGGCGACAGCAGGAUGAAGGCCAGGCUGACGACCUUGCCGGACGAGCUGAGAGGAGGUGCAUGGCCGUCGUCAGCUCGUGCCGUGAGGUGUCCGGUUAAGUCCGGCAACGAGCGAGACCCA
rnacentral:rRNA from 1 species